rnacentral:rRNA from 1 species
UGGCGCUGCUAUACAUGCAGUCGAGCGAAUGGAUUAAGAGCUUGCUCUUAUAGAAGUUAGCGGCGGACGGGUGAGUAACACGUGGGUAACCUGCCCAUAAGACUGGGAUAACUCCGGGAAACCGGGGCUAAUACCGGAUAACAUUUUGAACCGCAUGGUUCGAAAUUGAAAGGCGGCUUCGGCUGUCACUUAUGGAUGGACCCGCGUCGCAUUAGCUAGUUGGUGAGGUAACGGCUCACCAAGGCAACGAUGCGUAGCCGACCUGAGAGGGUGAUCGGCCACACUGGGACUGAGACAGGGCCCACACUAAUACGGGAGGCAGCAGUAGGGAAUCUUCCGCAAUGGACGAAAGUCUGACGGAGCACCGCCGCGUGAGUGAUGAAGGCUUUCCGGUCGUACAACUCUGUUGUUAGGGAAGAACA